UACAGAGGGUGCGAGCGGUAAUCGGAAUUACUGGGCGUAAAGCGCACGUAGGUGGCGACGUAAGUCGGGUGUGAAAGCCCCGGGCUCAACCUGGGAAUUGCAUUCGAGACUGCAUUGCUGGAGUACGGAAGAGGAGGGCGGAAUUCCCGGUGUAGCGGUGAAAUGCGUAGAUAUCGGGAGGAACAUCAGUGGCGAAGGCGGCCCUCUGGCAGUACUGACACUCAAGUGCGAAAGCGUGGGGAGCAAACAGG
rnacentral:rRNA from 1 species